rnacentral:lncRNA from 1 species
UGUUCUCUAUUAAAACAUAUACUAAUUCUCUUGGCAGCCUUCCUAUCAGAGUGUCAAAUAACUUAUUUGACACCUUAGUGAGACCUAUAUUGACUUAUAAUUCUGAAAUAACAUAUUUGGACUCAUAUAUAACAUAUUUCAAAGCUAAAAAAAGAGCUUUGGUUUCUGGAAAAAUUGUGGACCCAUUUAAUUUUAUUGACAAGACUCCAAUAGAAAACUUGCAUCUUGGUUAUUGCAAGUUUACCCUUGGCACUAACAAAAGUGCCUCAAAUUUUGGUACAAGGAACGAAUUGGGAAGACUGCCUAUUGAAUGUCAUAUAAAAACCCAAACUAUUAUGUAUUUAGCAAGGCUUUUCACCUCAAAUUUGAAUCCCUUAUUACAUGAAUCUUUUCAAUUAACUAAAACUUUGGAUUCUAGUGGCACCUAUUCAUGGUUCACUUUUGCAAAAGAUAUUCUUUCUGAAUCUAACAUUGAUAUAGAUAGACUAAAAACCUGUGAUAAUUUAAAACAAUUAAAAAAUAUUAAAAGCUAUAUUAAACCCCAAAUAAACUCAUACUACAACAACCUGUUGAUAAAUAAGUUAACAUCUAUUGAUGAUAAAAGUAAAUUAAAUUUUUAUAAAGCACUUGAGCCAAAUCUAUUGAUCAAACCUUACCUCUCUAACCCAAACUUUGAAUUUAGAAAAUUAAUUACAAAACUUAGAAUCAGUGAUCAUUCAUUAUUAAUUGAAAAAGGGAGGCAUUUUAAAAUUCCUCGCGAAGAGAGACUUUGCAAAAAAUGCAAAGUACUAGAUGAUGAGAAACAUUUCUUAAUAAAUUGUUCUCAUAAUUCAAAUAUUAGAUUAACAUAUUUUGAUUGCAUUAACAGAGAAAGUAAUUUAUUUGCUAAUCUCACUGACAAUGACAAAGUUAUAUAUAUACUUAACCCAUCAACACCAACACAAGUGAAUAAACUAGGAUCCUUUAUAAAAAAGUCAAUGGAACUGAGGACAGGGGACCCUUUAAUAUUUACCUGAAUUUGUGUAUAUAUAUUGAGUUACUUAGUUAUUGUCUUUAUUUGUUUUUGUUGUUGUUACAUUAUG